rnacentral:rRNA from 1 species
AUGAAGCCCAGCUUGCUGGGUGGAUUAGUGGCGAACGGGUGAGUAACACGUGAGUAACCUGCCCUGGACUCUGGGAUAAGCGUUGGAAACGACGUCUAAUACCGGAUAGGACCUUCGACCGCAUGGUUGGGGGUGGAAAGUUUUUCGGUCUGGGAUGGACUCGCGGCCUAUCAGCUUGUUGGUGAGGUAAUGGCUCACCAAGGCGUCGACGGGUAGCCGGCCUGAGAGGGUGACCGGCCACACUGGGACUGAGACACGGCCCAGACUCCUACGGGAGGCAGCAGUGGGGAAUAUUGCACAAUGGGCGAAAGCCUGAUGCAGCAACGCCGCGUGCGGGAUGACGGCCUUCGGGUUGUAAACCGCUUUUAGUAAGGAAGAAGGGGAGCUUGCUCCUUGACGGUACUUGCAGAAAAAGGACCGGCUAACUACGUGCCAGCAGCCGCGGUAAUACGUAGGGUCCGAGCGUUGUCCGGAAUUAUUGGGCGUAAAGAGCUCGUAGGCGGUUUGUCGCGUCUGCUGUGAAAUCUGGAGGCUCAACCUCCAGCCUGCAGUGGGUACGGGCAGACUAGAGUGCGGUAGGGGAGAAUGGAAUUCCUGGUGUAGCGGUGGAAUGCGCAGAUAUCAGGAGGAACACCGAUGGCGAAGGCAGUUCUCUGGGCCGUAACUGACGCUGAGGAGCGAAAGCGUGGGGAGCGAACAGGAUUAGAUACCCUGGUAGUCCACGCCGUAAACGUUGGGCGCUAGAUGUGGGGACCUUUCCACGGUUUCCGUGUCGUAGCUAACGCAUUAAGCGCCCCGCCUGGGGAGUACGGCCGCAAGGCUAAAACUCAAAGGAAUUGACGGGGGCCCGCACAAGCGGCGGAGCAUGCGGAUUAAUUCGAUGCAACGCGAAGAACCUUACCAAGGCUUGACAUGACCGAGAACGCCGCAGAAAUGUGGAACUCUUUGGACACUCGGUUACAGGUGGUGCAUGGUUGUCGUCAGCUCGUGUCGUGAGAUGUUGGGUUAAGUCCCGCAACGAGCGCAACCCUCGUCGCAUGUUGCCAGCACGUAAUGGUGGGAACUCAUGUGAGACUGCCGGGGUCAACUCGGAGGAAGGUGGGGAUGACGUCAAAUCAUCAUGCCCCUUAUGUCUUGGGCUUCACGCAUGCUACAAUGGCCGGUACAAAGGGCUGCGAUGUCGUAAGGCGGAGCGAAUCCCAAAAAGCCGGUCUCAGUUCGGAUUGAGGUCUGCAACUCGACCUCAUGAAGUCGGAGUCGCUAGUAAUCGCAGNUCAGC